GGGAAUGGUAGAGCCCCGGUGGGUUUCCCUGUCUUCAAAACUGGCGGCGGGCUGUUAUGCAGGCCGCGGUGGGUUCGACUCCCAUCCAUUCCCGCCA
rnacentral:tRNA from 1 species